rnacentral:lncRNA from 1 species
GGAUGCUCGGUCUCAUGCAGUAAAUGUCCACAUGUGACGGUCUCAUGUGGAGGCUCUCGGUGCUUACCCGCACGCUGAAGCUCAGUCGCACCAGGCACUGUUCUGGGCUCAGAGACACCAGAGGAAAGAGACAACCCUGUCUUCACGGAGCUUCCACUUUAGCAGGAGAGACAAGCAAUAAACAAAUGAGGAAAUCGAGGCACAGGGAGAUGAAUCCCUUACUGAAAUCACAGCUGGUAAGCAGAGAGACCAGAGUUCUCACUAGGCUGUCUGGCUCUAGAAGCUGCAAUCUUUGAUCACGUCUCUUUUACUGAGGUAAAUAUGUGGAGUUAAAUAUACCAAGUAUAUAUUAAAUAAGUGAAUCAAUGAACAAGAGACAAAAGAAUGAAGUUUGGGGUGGAGUGAUGGGCUGAGAAAAAGGUGGAGAGCGAUUCUGGCAGAAGAGGGGACCAGCUUGGCGCCCUGCUGGGAAGCCCUAGGGAUGGGAGGAGAAGGUGGAUGGGGCCAGAUGGUGGGGGUCUGGAAGGCCAAAUACAGGGGCUUGAAACUGAGCUCACUCCAUUAUUCAGAGACCUGGCCACAGUGAAGUGCCAUGGGGACAGGCCACCUGGAUCCUUCUUUGUGGAUAAAUUGGCGAGCUGAGUCCAGGGCUCUGGGAGAGCUCAUGGCUGAAGGCGGAGUAACAGUGUUAGUUAGAACGAAAGUUCAACUGUCCACCUGGGGUUGGAACCCCAGUGCCUUUGCUUCCUGGCCAGGGGACCUUAGGGCAAGUCACUUCCCGUUAUUGAGCUUCAAGUUUCUUAUCUGAAUCAACUUGAAGAGAUAAAAGUCACUAGCCCCGUGCCCGACACGAUAAAUGUACUCAAUGCAUGCUCUUCUACUAUGAAGCAAGGCCUUUAAAGUAGCUCUAAGUUGACUAAAGGAUCUAGUGGAAAAGGUGAACAACAUGCAUAAACAGAUGGGGAAUUUAGGAAGCGAGAAGGACACGUUUUAAAAAGAAGCCGGCUGGAAAUGCUAAAGCCACGCUAAAAAAGAAAACUAUGAUGUCAGAGAAAAAGAAGUCUUAUGAUGAGAUUGUCAACAGAUUCUACCCAGGGAGAAAAGUGAACAUGGUAAUGGGGCAAGAGAAAUCAUCCAAACUGAAAAUAAAAAUUCAUAGUGCGGGCUUCCUAGAUUUAUUAAGACGAUGGAAGCCCAAUGCCAGACACGUGAGCUCAAUGGUAUCAUUCCUUCACUCAUGGAACAAACGGGUUUUGAGCUCCUCAUAUGCAUCAGAUAGUGUUUUCAGACUAGGAUCGCAACAGUGAUCAAGAGAACAAAGGUCCCUGCAAUCAUGAAACAUACAGCUUAGGGAAGAGUCAGACUAAUAAAUAAGUAAAACAGAUAAUAUGCAAAAUGGCAAUAUCACCUGUGGAUUAAAAGCACAGCAGGGGGUCAGGAAAAGUGAAGGGAGAUGCGAUUUUAGAUGAGGUACAAGGAGGCCUCAAUAAGAAGGUGAUAUUUGCGCAAAGGUCUAAAGGAGGCAAUGAAGGGACCCGUGUGAUUACCUGAAAGAGCAUUCUAGAGAGAAUGCAUGGCUGGUGCAAAGGUCCUGGGGCAUGAAUGCUCACAGUCAGCUAGUGGAAAAGCCAGAAGGCCAGAGCUGAAUGAUCUUGACCAAUGGGAAAUAAGAUCAGAGAGGUAAAGAGGAGGUGGGGGCCACCAGGAGGGAAGCAGAUGGUCAUGUUGGGAUGUUUACUUUAACAGUGACUAGGAUGGUGUCUGUUGGAGGAUUUUGGUCAGAAGAGUGACGGGAUCCCUCUGGCUUCUGGAGAGCAGACCAGAGAGGGCCAGGUGGAAGCUGGGAGGCCAGUGGGAAGUCUCUGGUGAAAUUAGGGCACCUGGAAUGAAGGUGAUGGCAGAGGAGGUGAUGGCAGGCUUUAGAUGCAGGGUGCAUUUCAAAGGCUGGGCCGAUGCCAGGAGAGUCAUGGUUACUGCUGCUGUUGUUAGGGCCCCUCACAAGCCUUUUCAGGGGGUCCCCACCCAGAGAAGCAGAAACAAAGGUGCCCACUUGGCCCCUCCUCCAGGGGCAUCUCACUAAUCUUGCUGGGUAACUGGUUGCCAAGAACACUCUCCCAGCACUGGGGUGCUGGGUAGGGCAGGAUCCUAGCCCCCAGGCAGCCGUGGCUGGGGAGGCAGGCUCAGGUCUGCUCUGCCAAAGCCCCAGCUCCACAGCUGCAAAGCUGAGUUGUUUACUCAGAAUCAGCAAAGGUCAAGAGCAUGUUCAUCUGAGGGAGCUGGUGCCUGCAGCACCAGGCAGUCCCCCUCUCCCUCUAAAUCUUCAUGGAGAGAGGAAGUGGACAGCCUCUCCAAGAUACCCCAACAUGCUCGCUCCCUUGUUCCCUCCCUCUCCUUCUGCGCAAGCCGCCCCUGCCUGGCUGGCUGUCAUGGGUCCCUUGCUGGUGCCUCUGCCUCCAUCCCACCCUGUUCCAUCCACCCCACUAAGGGCAAGAGAGAGGACCUUUCUGGGAGCUCCCUUUGUGACUCAGGGGUAACAAACCUGACUAGUAUCCAUGAGGAUCUGGAUUCAAUCCCUGGCCUCGCUCAGUGGGUUAAGAAUCUGGUGUUGCCAUGAGCUGUGGGGGAGGUCACAGGUGCGGCUUCGAUCCCGCAUUGCUCUGGCUGUGGCAUGGCCAGUGGCUGCAGCUCUGAUUCGACCCCUAGCCUGGGAACUUCCCUGUGCCUCGGGCGUGGCCCUUAAAAAAAAAAAAAAA